GAUGGCUGGUAUCAUCUUCUGGAGUAAUAUGUGGGCCACGGGGGCCAGCCCAGGAGGACUGUAAGCUCCUUGUAGUUUGUCCUCUUCUCUAGACUUUGGGAAGCAUGCUAGGUAUCGAGAGUCCGAGUAUGUGUGCUAGCUAGGGCCUCAGAGGAAGCGCUGGCUGCUGGGAAAGAGAGGUGUCAGGACUCCUCACACUGGGCCACAAUGGUUCCAGACCGCGAGGGCUUCAUCCGUGAAGUGGAAUUACAACGCAGCCUCUGUUGAAACGGGCUGUGAUGGCUGUGGGCAGUUGAGUAGGAAAGCACCAAGAGCCAGGGGCUUAGCUUGGGUCAAUAAACGACAGCCGACUGGCUAGGAGAAAGCCAGCAUUGUGAGGGUCCAACGGCAGUCGGCCGCGGGAGAGCCACAACUGGAACGGGAUCCUGUCAGAGCAGUGUGUCAUAUUUGUUCUGGCAGCUUCUUUGGUAAAGCCACGCUAAGCUCCAUCUGGGAUACUGUCAGGUAAAGCUGCCAGACUUCUCCUGGAGCAGCACAGACAGCAGUUACGGUGAAGGUUCCAGAAUUCAAGGGCCUUCGUUUGAAAUGGAGCUUCGCCGCCAUUGAGUUCAUUUCCUGGGAACCUUACUGUGUCCCAUGACAGAAGCCCACAUGGUGAUGCCUUACAAAUUAAGAACUCACCUUUCUUCAGUUCUGCAUGAAGAGGAGAUGGUCCAGAGGAUGUGGCAAUGAUACAGAUACAACCAGAGAAGAAGUUGGUGUUCUUUUCUAAACCAUGGUAAAAAUAACAGGACAUCAUGUAGGAUGGUAAGGAGAUUAAAGGAUUGAAUAUACACAGGCUUAGCAAUGUGCCUGACUUAGUGUAAGCGCUGGGCAAAUGGUGCCUGUUACUGG
rnacentral:lncRNA from 1 species